rnacentral:lncRNA from 1 species
UCGUAGAGCUCAUUAUCUUCAAACAAUGCCCUGUUAUAAAACUCGCAAAUCGGAUGCCCCUCAAAGCCGCUACCUUGAGCCACAGAGCCAUCCACCUCAGAGUCACCCAGUUGCGUGUAUCGAGCCAACUGGUCGUGUGUGUAGAACUUUGACUUGACAGAUGAACACCUUUCUCCCCUUUAAGCAGAGGCUAUACACGUAUAGGCUAUAGCCCAUGGCGAUGGGAUAAAUGUCCCCAUAGCAGGCCAUGGCGCUGGGCGGCACGAGCACGCUGGGCCGGCUGGAGCGGCGAACUGACAGGCGGCCAGGCCGGAGUGGCAGGGGGCAGCGGCCGGCUGCAGGGGCGAGGCGCACGGGCGGCUGAGGGAGAGAUACCGGUCCCCAGCCAGACCGGCGCGCGGAGCUGGCAAGGGAGGGGCGACUCGAGACGAUGCGCGCGUCGCGUGGUCAUGCGGCCGCGGAGGGGAACCAGCGCGCACGGGAAACGGCAGGCUCGGGCGGGACUGGCUCGCAGCAAGACGAGGAGGAAACGGCACACGCGCAAGCACGCGUGAGGGCGGCUGGAGCGGCACGGACACGGCCAGGGCGAGGCCGAGCCGUCAAGGGCGCGAUGCAAAGGCCGUGCGCGCGGACGUGACACUGACGGGCGGGCGGCCAGGGCGGGGCAGAGCAAACUCUGGCCUGCGGUGGCAGGCGCAACGAGGUGAGCUGCAGAUGCAGUGGGGAGGAGGCGAGGCCGCGGGCGCGCGACUAUGCACGUAGAGCUUCACGAGUGCACGGGACGGAGCUGGUGCGGCGUAACGGGCGCGAUGAGGCAGAGGUGGCCGUGGUGCGGCGCAGCGGGCGGAGGCGAAUCCCAUGGCCGGUCGGCAUGCCGACUCGAAGUGGCGGGAGCGGGGCGACCACGGCGAGCCGGCUCGGGGUGGCAAGGUGGAGGCGUGCUAGCCUGGCGGGGCGCGUGUCAGCAAGGGAGAAACAGACGAUGAGUCCGGGUGCUCACGAGACUCAGCGGCAGAGGUGAGGUGAAGACGGUGAUGCAGGGUGAAAAUCGAGUCAGCAGCGAUGUCUAUCUUCAAAAAAUCGUGGACUCCUUUUUUACAAUUCCGAUUUAGGAAUCUGCUUCCUGCCUCCAAUCCGAACACAUCAUCUGAACGGAUGCGAGCAACAACUAAGUUUGGGGUCGGAUCGAUCUUUUGAUUCCACCUGUGCAACCUGAGGUUGAGAAUUUUUCCAUCUCAAUUGAUGAUCUCCGAGUUAAUGUAGUUCUUCGAGCGGCUUUGUGGAUCCAGCGAGUCGUAAGAUUCUCGAUCCUUUCAUCGCGUAUCCUAUGGUGGUCGUCAAAUGUCGUAGUUUUAUCACGACAUGUGUCUUUGUAAGAGAACUUAGGUGUGAGGCUAUUGCAAAUAUGUAGGGGUUUGAGAGGGGUUGGUAGGAAUUGAGAGACGCCUUCCUUUUCGUGGGCCUUCUGUGUGAGCCGUCCCUCCCAUGAGCCGCCUUCUAGGCCGUUGGGUCUUAUAAUUUGUAGUUUGUCUAACUCGCCUGCCGGGUCAUAUACGAGCCGUCUGUCGUGUCACUAAUGAGUCAUCAAACUCGGUCGGGUCACUAGUGAAUCGCCUAGCCCCAGUCGGGUUAUAUUUAAG